rnacentral:rRNA from 1 species
UACGUAGGGUGCAAGCGUUAAUCGGAAUUACUGGGCGUAAAGCGUGCGCAGGCGGUUUUGUAAGACAGGCGUGAAAUCCCCGGGCUUAACCUGGGAAUUGCGCUUGUGACUGCAAGGCUGGAGUGCGGCAGAGGGGGAUGGAAUUCCGCGUGUAGCAGUGAAAUGCGUAGAUAUGCGGAGGAACACCGAUGGCGAAGGCAAUCCCCUGGGCCUGCACUGACGAUCAUGCACGAAAGCGUGGGGAGCAAACAGG